CUUCAGAAAGUUCACACCAAAAAAAGAAACUAUCAGAACCAAGAGCUAUUUAUGUGACAAGUAAAGAAUUCAGGAUAAAAUUAUGAAGUAGUGGGAACGUUUACCUCCCAAAAGUUCAUCCAGUGCCUGGCUUCCAGUUGUGAUACGAACUACCUGCUUCCUCUGUAGCAAACAUGUUGUAUUCAGAUAUCUUUUUAUAUAAGGCACAAAUAGGAUUUUACACUUACUUAAAUAUGUCACUCAAGCAGAAAGGAUCAAGAGUGGAUAGCAAAGAAAAGAAACACCGUGAUUUUACUCAACGGGAGCUGUUAGCACUAAACUAUAGAAUAGCAAACAUGUUGUGUUCAGAUAUCUUUUUAUGUAAGGCACAAACAUGAUUUUACACUUCCUAAAAUAUGUCACUCAAGCAGAAAGGAUCAAGAGUGGAUGGCAAAGAAAAGAAACACCGUGAUUUUACUCAACACGAGCUGUUAGCACUAAAUUGUAGAGUGGGUUUUGUGAAGCUAUUAACUUUUAUCAUAACCUGUCAAGCAAACUCCAGUAAGUUAAGACAUAAAACGAAAAAAAGAAACAAAAAACUCAUACUUUGAGCAGAGCAUCACUUCCAGUAAUAUAGCCAAAAUUCUGCAAAGAUUACAAAAAUAGUGAAGGCAAUAGUAGCAGAAACAUAUGAUGAUAUCAUCACUUGGAAUACGACAAUCAGUCUGUUAGAAUAUAUAUC
rnacentral:lncRNA from 1 species